rnacentral:rRNA from 1 species
UUUAUGGAGAGUUUGAUCCUGGCUCAGGAUGAACGCUGGCGGCGUGCCUAAUACAUGCAAGUCGAGCGAACAGACAAGGAGCUUGCUCCUUUGACGUUAGCGGCGGACGGGUGAGUAACACGUGGGUAACCUACCUAUAAGACUGGGAUAACUUCGGGAAACCGGAGCUAAUACCGGAUAAUAUUUCGAACCGCAUGGUUCGAUAGUGAAAGAUGGUUUUGCUAUCACUUAUAGAUGGACCCGCGCCGUAUUAGCUAGUUGGUAAGGUAACGGCUUACCAAGGCGACGAUACGUAGCCGACCUGAGAGGGUGAUCGGCCACACUGGAACUGAGACACGGUCCAGACUCCUACGGGAGGCAGCAGUAGGGAAUCUUCCGCAAUGGGCGAAAGCCUGACGGAGCAACGCCGCGUGAGUGAUGAAGGUCUUCGGAUCGUAAAACUCUGUUAUUAGGGAAGAACAUACGUGUAAGUAACUAUGCACGUCUUGACGGUACCUAAUCAGAAAGCCACGGCUAACUACGUGCCAGCAGCCGCGGUAAUACGUAGGUGGCAAGCGUUAUCCGGAAUUAUUGGGCGUAAAGCGCGCGUAGGCGGUUUUUUAAGUCUGAUGUGAAAGCCCACGGCUCAACCGUGGAGGGUCAUUGGAAACUGUAAAACUUGAGUGCAGAAGAGGAAAGUGGAAUUCCAUGUGUAGCGGUGAAAUGCGCAGAGAUAUGGAGGAACACCAGUGGCGAAGGCGACUUUCUGGUCUGUAACUGACGCUGAUGUGCGAAAGCGUGGGGAUCAAACAGGAUUAGAUACCCUGGUAGUCCACGCCGUAAACGAUGAGUGCUAAGUGUUAGGGGGUUUCCGCCCCUUAGUGCUGCAGCUAACGCAUUAAGCACUCCGCCUGGGGAGUACGACCGCAAGGUUGAAACUCAAAGGAAUUGACGGGGACCCGCACAAGCGGUGGAGCAUGUGGUUUAAUUCGAAGCAACGCGAAGAACCUUACCAAAUCUUGACAUCCUUUGACAACUCUAGAGAUAGAGCCUUCCCCUUCGGGGGACAAAGUGACAGGUGGUGCAUGGUUGUCGUCAGCUCGUGUCGUGAGAUGUUGGGUUAAGUCCCGCAACGAGCGCAACCCUUAAGCUUAGUUGCCAUCAUUAAGUUGGGCACUCUAAGUUGACUGCCGGUGACAAACCGGAGGAAGGUGGGGAUGACGUCAAAUCAUCAUGCCCCUUAUGAUUUGGGCUACACACGUGCUACAAUGGACAAUACAAAGGGCAGCGAAACCGCGAGGUCAAGCAAAUCCCAUAAAGUUGUUCUCAGUUCGGAUUGUAGUCUGCAACUCGACUACAUGAAGCUGGAAUCGCUAGUAAUCGUAGAUCAGCAUGCUACGGUGAAUACGUUCCCGGGUCUUGUACACACCGCCCGUCACACCACGAGAGUUUGUAACACCCGAAGCCGGUGGAGUAACCAUUUGGAGCUAGCCGUCGAAGGUGGGACAAAUGAUUGGGGUGAAGUCGUAACAAGGUAGCCGUAUCGGAAGGUGCGGCUGGAUCACCUCCUUUCU